rnacentral:rRNA from 1 species
GAUGAACGCUGGCGGCGUGCCUAAUACAUGCAAGUCGAGCGAACGGACGAGAAGCCUGCUUCUCUGAUGUUAGCGGCGGACGGGUGAGUAACACGUGGAUAACCUACCUAUAAGACUGGGAUAACUUCGGGAAACCGGAGCUAAUACCGGAUAAUAUUUUGAACCGCAUGGUUCAAAAGUGAAAGACGGUCUUGCUGUCACUUAUAGAUGGAUCCGCGCUGCAUUAGCUAGUUGGUAAGGUAACGGCUUACCAAGGCAACGAUGCAUAGCCGACCUGAGAGGGUGAUCGGCCACACUGGAACUGAGACACGGUCCAGACUCCUACGGGAGGCAGCAGUAGGGAAUCUUCCGCAAUGGGCGAAAGCCUGACGGAGCAACGCCGCGUGAGUGAUGAAGGUCUUCGGAUCGUNAAACUCUGUUAUUAGGGAAGAACAUAUGUGUAAGUAACUGUGCACAUCUUGACGGUACCUAAUCAGAAAGCCACGGCUAACUACGUGCCAGCAGCCGCGGUAAUACGUAGGUGGCAAGCGUUAUCCCGAAUUAUUGGGCGUAAAGCGCGCGUAGGCGGUUUUUUAGUCUGAUGUGAAAGCCCACGGCUCAAUCGUGGAGGGUCAUUGGAAACUGGAAAACUUGAGUGCAGAAGAGGAAAGUGGAAUUCCAUGUGUAGCGGUGAAAUGCGCAGAGAUAUGGAGGAACACCAGUGGCGAAGGCGACUUUCUGGUCUGUAACUGACGCUGAUGUGCGAAAGCGUGGGGAUCAAACAGGAUUAGAUACCCUGGUAGUCCACGCCGUAAACGAUGAGUGCUAAGUGUUAGGGGGUUUCCGCCCCUUAGUGCUGCAGCUAACGCAUUAAGCACUCCGCCUGGGGAGUACGACCGCAAGGUUGAAACUCAAAGGAAUUGACGGGGACCCGCACAAGCGGUGGAGCAUGUGGUUUAAUUCGAAGCAACGCGAAGAACCUUACCAAAUCUUGACAUCCUUUAACAACUCUAGAGAUAGAGCCUUCCCCUUCGGGGGACAAAGUGACAGGUGGUGCAUGGUUGUCGUCAGCUCGUGUCGUGAGAUGUUGGGUUAAGUCCCGCAACGAGCGCAACCCUUAAGCUUAGUUGCCAUCAUUAAGUUGGGCACUCUAAGUUGACUGCCGGUGACAAACCGGAGGAAGGUGGGGAUGACGUCAAAUCAUCAUGCCCCUUAUGAUUUGGGCUACACACGUGCUACAAUGGACAAUACAAAGGGCAGCGAAACCGCGAGGUCAAGCAAAUCCCAUAAAGUUGUUCUCAGUUCGGAUUGUAGUCUGCAACUCGACUACAUGAAGCUGGAAUCGCUAGUAAUCGUAGAUCAGCAUGCUACGGUGAAUACGUUCCCGGGUCU